rnacentral:rRNA from 1 species
GAUGAACGCUGGCGGCGUGCCUAAUACAUGCAAGUCAAGCGAACGGACGAGAAGCUUGCUUCUCUGAUGUUAGCGGCGGACGGGUGAGUAACACGUGGAUAACCUACCUAUAAGACUGGGAUAACUUCGGGAAACCGGAGCUAAUACCGGAUAAUAUUUUGAACCGCAUGGUUCAAAAGUGAAAGACGGUCUUGCUGUCACUUAUAGAUGGAUCCGCGCUGCAUUAGCUAGUUGGUAAGGUAACGGCUUACCAAGGCAACGAUGCAUAGCCGACCUGAGAGGGUGAUCGGCCACACUGGAACUGAGACACGGUCCAGACUCCUACGGGAGGCAGCAGUAGGGAAUCUUCCGCAAUGGGCGAAAGCCUGACGGAGCAACGCCGCGUGAGUGAUGAUGGUCUUCGGAUCGUAAAACUCUGUUAUUAGGGAAGAACAUAUGUGUAAGUAACUGUGCACAUCUUGACGGUACCUAAUCAGAAAGCCACGGCUAACUACGUG